rnacentral:rRNA from 1 species
UACGAAGGGGGCUAGCGUUGCUCGGAAUCACUGGGCGUAAAGGGUGCGUAGGCGGGUCUUUAAGUCUGAGGUGAAAUCCUGGAGCUCAACUCCAGAACUGCCUUUGAUACUGAGGAUCUUGAGUACGGGAGAGGUGAGUGGAACUGCGAGUGUAGAGGUGAAAUUCGUAGAUAUUCGCAAGAACACCAGUGGCGAAGGCGGCUCACUGGCCCGUUACUGACGCUGAGGCACGAAAGCGUGGGGAGCAAACAGG